rnacentral:rRNA from 1 species
GGCGGACGGGUGAGUAACGCGUAAAGAAACUUGCCCUUUAGACUGGGAUAACAGAGGGAAACUUCUGAUAAUACUGGAUAAGUUAGUAUAUCGCAUGAUAUGCAAAUGAAAGCUACGGCACUAAAGGAGAGCUUUGCGUCCUAUUAGCUAGUUGGUAAGGUAAGAGCUUACCAAGGCGAUGAUAGGUAGCCGGCCUGAGAGGGUGGACGGCCACAAGGGGACUGAGAUACGGCCCUUACUCCUACGGGAGGCAGCAGAC